UGGAGGAAAACUCAGUCGGUAGAACAUGAGACUCUUAAUCUUAGGGUUGUGGGUUCAAGCUCCACCUUGCGCAA